rnacentral:rRNA from 1 species
UACGUAGGCACCAGGCGUUGUCCGGAUUUAUUGGGCGUAAAGAGCUCGUAGGCGGUUCGGUAAGUCGGGUGUGAAAACUCUGGGCUCAACCCAGAGAGGCCACCCGAUACUGCCGUGACUGGAGUGCGGUAGGGGAGUGGGGAAUUCCUGGUGUAGCGGUGAAAUGCGCAGAUAUCAGGAGGAACACCGGUGGCGAAGGCGGGACUCUGGGCCGAUACUGACGCUGAGGAGCGAAAGCGUGGGGAGCAAACAGG